rnacentral:rRNA from 1 species
AGUGAACGCUGGCGGUAGGCCUAACACAUGCAAGUCGAACGGCAGCACAGUAAGGGCUUGCUCUUACGGGUGGCGAGUGGCGGACGGGUGAGGAAUACAUCGGAAUCUACUUUUUCGUGGGGGAUAACGUAGGGAAACUUACGCUAAUACCGCAUACGGCCUACGGGUGAAAGCAGGGGAUCUUCGGACCUUGCGCGAUUGAAUGAGCCGAUGUCGGAUUAGCUAGUUGGCGGGGUAAAGGCCCACCAAGGCGACGAUCCGUAGCUGGUCUGAGAGGAUGAUCAGCCACACUGGAACUGAGACACGGUCCAGACUCCUACGGGAGGCAGCAGUGGGGAAUAUUGGACAAUGGGCGCAAGCCUGAUCCAGCCAUACCGCGUGGGUGAAGAAGGCCUUCGGGUUGUAAAGCCCUUUUGUUGGGAAAGAAAAGCAGCAGGUUAAUACCCCGCUGUUCUGACGGUACCCAAAGAAUAAGCACCGGCUAACUUCGUG